rnacentral:lncRNA from 1 species
UGGUGGCUCCUGAGUUCUUGUCUCAGUUGAUCCCGGGGAUGAGGGUGGAUGGAGGGGCUGACGUGGAUCGCCACUUUACUGACGGCGAUCUGGAUUAGCUUUUCUCAGCCGGGGGCUAUUGGUCUUUCAUUAUAGUGUGCUGUAGAGGGGCCCAAAGUUUUCGUCAGAUCUUGAUUUGUUUUUGGUACGUACUGUAGCAUUAUUAGUGUAGUGUAGGACACUGCAAUUUGCCUUCCACGCAGCUGCGGCCUUUCCGCCGCGCCGGACCGCGGCCGCGCGGGGUGCGUGCAUCACGAAUAACGUGUGCAGUCAACGGGAUUAUCUAGAACUGCACCAACCAACUAAACUAAUUAAGAGUGGACAAUGCUUGCAAGUGGUUCUACAUAGGUUUUCCUUGUGCCGGCGGCGACCGGCAGCAAUCCACCAUAGCCAACCUUCAUUG